GCCCAUGAUGACUAUUUACAUGGCUGAAAGCAAGUUAUAGCACUUGUUUUAUGCUGAAAUAAUUGAGAACUAGGACGGUCUGAGGC